rnacentral:misc_RNA from 1 species
CGGAGAUCAGGGUCACGCUCGAGGACAUCACCACCGCGCGCGUGGUCGCACGGCCGACGCCGACUGUGCCCUCGCGCGUGUUCAUCCCCAGGUAGCAGGCGACCAGCGCGAUGUUGAAGCCGAAGAAGAAGGUCUUGGCCAAUCCCGACGCCAUGUCGGCGAGCGUGGUCGAGCGCAGCGCG